AGAGUUUGAUCCUGGCUCAGAUUGAACGCUGGCGGCAGGCUUAACACAUGCAAGUCGAGCGGUAACAGGGGGUGCUUGCACCCCGCUGACGAGCGGCGGACGGGUGAGUAAUGCUUAGGAAUCUGCCCAGUAGUGGGGGAUAGCCCGGGGAAACCCGGAUUAAUACCGCAUACGUCCUACGGGAGAAAGCAGGGGAUCUUCGGACCUUGCGCUAUUGGAUGAGCCUAAGUCGGAUUAGCUAGUUGGUGAGGUAAAGGCUCACCAAGGCCACGAUCCGUAGCUGGUUUGAGAGGAUGAUCAGCCACAUCGGGACUGAGACACGGCCCGAACUCCUACGGGAGGCAGCAGUGGGGAAUAUUGGACAAUGGGGGCAACCCUGAUCCAGCCAUGCCGCGUGUGUGAAGAAGGCUUUCGGGUUGUAAAGCACUUUCAGUGAGGAGGAAAACCUUACGACUAAUACUCGUGAGGCUUGACGUUACUCACAGAAGAAGCACCGGCUAACUCCGUGCCAGCAGCCGCGGUAAUACGGAGGGUGCAAGCGUUAAUCGGAAUUACUGGGCGUAAAGCGCGCGUAGGUGGUUCGAUAAGCGGGAUGUGAAAGCCCCGGGCUUAACCUGGGAACGGCAUUCCGAACUGUCGGGCUAGAGUAUGGUAGAGGGUAGUGGAAUUUCCUGUGUAGCGGUGAAAUGCGUAGAUAUAGGAAGGAACACCAGUGGCGAAGGCGGCUACCUGGACCAAUACUGACACUGAGGUGCGAAAGCGUGGGGAGCAAACAGGAUUAGAUACCCUGGUAGUCCACGCCGUAAACGAUGUCAACUAGCCGUUGGGACUCUUGAAGUCUUAGUGGCGCAGCUAACGCACUAAGUUGACCGCCUGGGGAGUACGGCCGCAAGGUUAAAACUCAAAUGAAUUGACGGGGGCCCGCACAAGCGGUGGAGCAUGUGGUUUAAUUCGACGCAACGCGAAGAACCUUACCUGGCCUUGACAUCCAGAGAACUUUCCAGAGAUGGAUUGGUGCCUUCGGGAACUCUGUGACAGGUGCUGCAUGGCCGUCGUCAGUUCGUGUCGUGAGAUGUUGGGUUAAGUCCCGUAACGAGCGCAACCCCUAUCCCUGGUUGCUAGCAGGUAAAGCUGAGAACUCCAGGGAGACUGCCGGUGACAAACCGGAGGAAGGUGGGGAUGACGUCAGGUCAUCAUGGCCCUUACGGCCAGGGCUACACACGUGCUACAAUGGUGCGUACAGAGGGCUGCAAACUCGCGAGAGUAAGCCAAUCCCUUAAAACGCAUCGUAGUCCGGAUCGGAGUCUGCAACUCGACUCCGUGAAGUCGGAAUCGCUAGUAAUCGCGAAUCAGAAUGUCGCGGUGAAUACGUUCCCGGGCCUUGUACACACCGCCCGUCACACCAUGGGAGUGGAUUGCACCAGAAGUGGUUAGUCUAACCUUCGGGAGGACGAUCACCACGGUGUGGUUCAUGACUGGGGUGAAGUCGUAACAAGGUAACC
rnacentral:rRNA from 1 species